rnacentral:rRNA from 1 species
GAUGAACGCUGGCGGCGUGCCUAAUACAUGCAAGUCGAACGCUUUGUGGUUCAACUGAUUUGAAGAGCUUGCUCAGAUAUGACGAUGGACAUUGCAAAGAGUGGCGAACGGGUGAGUAACACGUGGGAAACCUACCUCUUAGCAGGGGAUAACAUUUGGAAACAGAUGCUAAUACCGUAUAACAAUGACAACCGCAUGGUUGUUAUUUAAAAGAUGGUUCUGCUAUCACUAAGAGAUGGUCCCGCGGUGCAUUAGCUAGUUGGUAAGGUAAUGGCUUACCAAGGCGAUGAUGCAUAGCCGAGUUGAGAGACUGAUCGGCCACAAUGGGACUGAGACACGGCCCAUACUCCUACGGGAGGCAGCAGUAGGGAAUCUUCCACAAUGGGCGAAAGCCUGAUGGAGCAACGCCGCGUGUGUGAUGAAGGGUUUCGGCUCGUAAAACACUGUUGUAAGAGAAGAAUGACAUUGAGAGUAACUGUUCAAUGUGUGACGGUAUCUUACCAGAAAGGAACGGCUAAAUACGUGCCAGCAGCCGCGGUAAUACGUAUGUUCCAAGCGUUAUCCGGAUUUAUUGGGCGUAAAGCGAGCGCAGACGGUUAUUUAAGUCUGAAGUGAAAGCCCUCAGCUCAACUGAGGAAUUGCUUUGGAAACUGGAUGACUUGAGUGCAGUAGAGGAAAGUGGAACUCCAUGUGUAGCGGUGAAAUGCGUAGAUAUAUGGAAGAACACCAGUGGCGAAGGCGGCUUUCUGGACUGUAACUGACGUUGAGGCUCGAAAGUGUGGGUAGCAAACAGGAUUAGAUACCCUGGUAGUCCACACCGUAAACGAUGAGUGCUAGGUGUUUGAGGGUUUCCGCCCUUAAGUGCCGCAGCUAACGUAUUAAGCACUCCGCCUGGGGAGUACGACCGCAAGGUUGAAACUCAAAGGAAUUGACGGGGACCCGCACAAGCGGUGGAGCAUGUGGUUUAAUUCGAAGCAACGCGAAGAACCUUACCAGGUCUUGACAUCCCUUGACAACUCCAGAGAUGGAGCGUUCCCUUCGGGGACAAGGUGACAGGUGGUGCAUGGUUGUCGUCAGCUCGUGUCGUGAGAUGUUGGGUUAAGUCCCGCAACGAGCGCAACCCUUAUUACUAGUUGCCAGCAUUCAGUUGGGCACUCUAGUGAGACUGCCGGUGACAAACCGGAGGAAGGUGGGGAUGACGUCAAAUCAUCAUGCCCCCUAUGACCUGGGCUACACACGUGCUACAAUGGCGUAUACAACGAGUUGCCAACCCGCGAGGGUGAGCUAAUCUCUUAAAGUACGUCUCAGUUCGGAUUGUAGGCUGCAACUCGCCUACAUGAAGUCGGAAUCGCUAGUAAUCGCGGAUCAGCACGCCGCGGUGAAUACGUUCCCGGGUCUUGUACACACCGCCCGUCACACCAUGAGAGUUUGUAACACCCAAAGCCGGUGGGGUAACCUUCGGGAGCCAGCCGUCUAAGGUGGGACAGAUGAUUAGGGUG